ensembl:lncRNA
AAAAAAAUCUAUAAACACAGAUAUAAAAAGCUACUGUUGCCUCUGUUCAAGUUCCCAUCACAUGUGACCUGAUUUUCUUAUCUUCUGUGAUGUCUGGACCCUUAUUUCCCAGAGAAAGCCAAGGCGAAUUGCUUUCAGGAGUCUCUAUCUCUGUCUGCAAACCAAACCCAGUUUGCCCAUUAGGCAGACAUCUGGUGUGGAGACCACGGCAAAACUUCCUCAUGGAGCCUCAAUCUGAGUGGAAGGCCAAGCUGUACUUGGUCAGAAUUCAUCUGGAGAUCAAGAGGAGGAGAAGGAAAGAAAGCACAUUGGUCCAUAUCGAUAACAUGGGCAUGAAUGUUGACCAAAAAACAUUUCUGAGACAGUUUCUCCAGGGAUGAGAGUAGGCAGUCACCUCCUGAGAGUUGAAAUCACAGCAGGAGGGCCGUGAAGAGAGAAGAUGUUUUUAAAACUUGGAUGGUUUCCCAGGAAUUUUUUUUUUUCAUUUCUUUCUUUUUUUUAUUUUUAUUUUUAUUUUUUCUUUUUCUUUGGCUUCCCACUUUCCAAAAAUACGAGGUAACAUCAGAGGUUUCCCAAGCUGUCAUAAGGUUUGAAGAGAGCGUGUUGGCAUGUUCAUUGCCCCUUAGGAAACAAGGCUAUCUGUUUUUCUUCCCAGCUUUGCAGUCCAUGUUAGCAUUUUGUUAACAGCAGGUCAGCUGUUUCAAAUUCAGUCGCUAUCAACAUAGACCUUGUUAUCAGGGAAAGAAAAUGCUUUUUCUGUGAGCCUGGUUUUCUUCAAGUCUCCCUUUUGUUAGAAUCUGUGACCAUUACUGCUUUUGUGAAUAUAUUUCAUCCAACAAUCUUCCUUCCUUAAAUAAAAUUGCCUGGCUCCAUUCCAGGUUUUUCACAAUGACUCCAAACCACUGCAAACAGCAGGCACUAGCAAACACCGUAAUUAUCCAGUGGACAUAGUUAGCCCAGGAUUUUUCUUUUCUUUCUUUUCUUUUCUUUUUCUUUUUCUUUUUUUCUUUUUUUUUUUGACAGUCUCACUCCAUCACUCAGGCUCAAGUGCAGUGGUGCGAUCUCGGCUCACAGCAACCUCCGCCUCCCAGGUUGUGAUCUGCCUGCCCCAGCCUCCCAAAGUGCUGGUAUUACAGGCAUGAGAUACCAUGCCUGGGUGGCUUUUCUUUUUAUAAAAAAUAGUAGUUUGGCAUUCUGGCAUUAAAGUUUUGAGAACUUCCUGUAUUUACUCUUUAUCGAUCAACCACUACAGACUUUCUGCUUGUUUCUUGAGGAAAUACUUUUUAUCCAGGUGUUCCAGGGUGCAAAAGGAAAGAUAACAAUAGUGUUUUAGAUACAGCUAGCACUCUACAUUUUACAAAACGUUUGCAGAGAUGUCAGAUUUUCCUUCCAACUACAGAUUGGGAAAGUAUAAGAUACAGUAACAAUCUAUUUUAGAAGACAAGACUUAUACAUGUUCACUUGAUUUUUUAAUCAGGAAGAGAGAUAUUUACCUAACAUUGUACCAAGCAUUGUGGAAAAUUUUUACAUAUCUCAUUUAAUCCUCAUAAUUACUGUGUCCGGAGUUGGUUCC